rfam:Daphnia magna strain Xinb3 scaffold00499, whole genome shotgun sequence.
GACUCAUGGCUCAGUGGUUGAGCAUCGGCCAGGUAUGCUGUAAUAUAAAGGUUCGAUUCCUUACAGAGUCA